rnacentral:misc_RNA from 1 species
AUUUUACUAGUUGUAUAUGUUGAUAAUAUUAUUAUUACUGGGAGUGAUUUUGUAGCCAUAGAACCAUGGACACUUUAAUAUUGAAUGUUUUUUAGAUGCAGAUUGGACAGGAUCAAAGUUGAUAGAAGAUCUACUACUGAGUAUUAUAUCUUUGUUGGAGGAAAUUUAGUGUCAAGGAAGAGUAAGAAGCAAAAUGUGGUCUUUUGGUCUGGUGUCGAACCAGGGUAUAGAGCCAUGGCAUAGUAUAUGUGUGAGAUAAUAUGGGUUUAUCAAUUAUUGAAUGAGGUUGGUCUUAA